CGGGGUUUCACCAGGCUGGUCUCAAACUCCUGAUCUUAGGUGAUCCACCUGCCUCGGCCUCCCGUAGUGCUGGGAUUAUAGGCUUGAACCACCGUGCUUGGCCCAGGAGUUGUAUUCUUGAUCUAGGUUUAAAUGUAAACCUACACUUGGCCUAGGUUUUAAGUAAAACCCUACGUGUUUUUGCCUAUGUAAAGGUCUGUUAGGACAUUGGAAAGUUGUGCAGGAUAUGGGACAGUUCUUUCUAGUGUGACCUGCCCUGAAUACUGCAGGACAUCCACUAUCCCUGACCCUGCCGGAUAAUGCAAGUAACACCCCAGCUCCAACUGUCAUGAUGAUGAAAAAUGCCCCCAGUAUUGCCAAAGUGGCCCUUAGAAGCUGGUUUUUCCCUUCUUGAAGAGCACCGAAGCCUUUUUGAAGAAGGAUGCCACCUAUGUGUCAUCUGGAUGCCUAAUAAUAGCACCCGGCACUGAGUUGGGUUGGAGGUAGCUUCCUGACUCUGUUGAACCAAGUCUUUAAAGCCGAUUCUGUUAAGCCAGGUUUGUCUCGCCAGCACAUGAUGAAGGGUUGUUGCUAUGGACUGAGCCUCCAGGAUUCUAUCUGUGAUGGUGUGACUGGGGCCCGUGACAGAGGACAGCACAGUGGCUACGCCAAGGGCUGGAUAACACAGAGAUGCCCUCUGGGCCAGCACCCCCAAGUGCCAUGUAUAUUUCCAGAGCAUCUCUAAGUUUCCCCCAUUUGGCUGUGAGACCUCAUCCACAAGGCCUUCUCCUACCUCCUGUGAUGAUCUCUGGGGUCGCCACCGCAUCAGUGCCUUCACAGCAUUCCUUGGAUAUGGCAGUGCAUGGCUGGGCUGGCUCAGCUGAGAACAGCUGUCCACGCGGAACAGGAACCCAUUGGAGGCAGCACGUAUUCUCGGCUGCUCUGGUGAGAGUGGUGUUUCCAGAUUCUGGUGGGCCUCCCUCUCCAACACAGCAUACCUGGCUGACCUCCAGCUUGGCCCUGGAGGGGUUUCCCUCCUCCCUUUUUCUCCACAGCUUCAUUUGAGAGUGGGAUUCAGGAGGACUCUCCUCCACCAGCAGCUCACUUCCUGUUUGCAUUGUUCGGAAAGCCAGGCAAGAUCUGGGGAUAAGUAACCCCUGUCCCCCACAUUUACAGCUCUGAGGAUUUUCUAAAAGGCUGAUCAACAAUCUGAUUCCUGGGGACUCUGCUCUACUCUCUAAUUUCAGAAAGCAUGUUGCACUGUGGCCCUCAGCUGGGCAUCCUGCCCUUAGAGUCCUGUCUCUUGGCAUAUCCUAGGUCUCAGCUAGGUGGCGGCUUUCCUCUGCUUCUGAAGGUAAACAAUAGUAGCAGAGGGUAGAAGCCAGCUGUUCCUUGCCCCCAGGCCUCAUUUCUAGGGUUGGCACUCCAUGAUGGCAAGAGACAUUAUCUCUGGCAGACAGCAGAGGGUGGCAGGGGACUGAAGAUCUCAUUUUGCCCAUUUAUGCGAUUCCUCUCCGGCCCCAGUCUUAUUUCCUGUCUUGUUCCCACCUUCUGCCUCUGUUCAUGUAUAGGCUUUAGCACACGGCAGACAUUUAGCACACGGCAGACAUUUGACAUUCUGCAACUCUGCAAGAUGUUCAGUUUCCUGAUUAUUGAAUACCUAGACCUUCUUAAUAAGCCUGAGCCUCAUUUCCAUUCUCAUUUCCAGUAGGCCAGCUUGAACCAAACCAUAUUGCUAUCAUAAAGAAGCUUACUAGAAAAAUAAAGAAAUGGGAGAGGCUAUAGUGUGUAGGGAUUUAUACUGCAUAAUAACACUUCAAAGAAAUUAAGGAAGUGAUUACUGUAAAAGUCAGAAUCAUUGUUAAUUUGGGCGGCAGAGACUGGACUGUGGGUGGCCUGGAAAAGUUCUAUUUCUUGAUUUGCAUGCUGGGCUCCAAGGGUAUUUAGCUUAUAAUAAUUCAUCAAGCUAUGCAUUUUUGCAUACUGUGUAUAUAUGUAUUUAUUUUCCAGUAAAAAGUUAAACAAUCCAAUCAAAAGGCAGAGAUUGUCAGGCUGGAUUAAAAAUCAUGACCCAAUUUUAGAUUCUAAGAAACUAGUAGGUUGAAUGUAAAAUAAUGGAAAAAAAGACGUAGCGGGUAAACAACAACCACAAGAAAGUAGAAGUGGCUAUAGAUAUGCACCUAAUACUGAAACGUCAAAACACACGAAGCAAAAUGGACAGAAAGGCAAGAGAAAGAUAAUUCAACAAUCGUUGGAUACUUCAGUACCUCACUCUCAAUAAUAGAUGGAACAACCGGACAGAAGAUUGCUGAGGAAAUAGAAGACUUUAAUAAUACUCUAAACCAACUAGACCUAGCAACAUCUAUAGAACAUGUCACCUAACAACGGAAUAUAUACUCCUCUCAAGUGCACAUAAAACAUUGUCCAGGAAAGAUCAUAUGCUAGGGCAUAAAAUAAACAUCAAUACAUUAAAUAGGGUAGAAUAAUAAAAAGUGUGCUCUUCAGUCACAACGAAUAAAAUUAGAAAUCAAUAGCACAAAAAAUCAGGAAACUCACAAAUAUGAUAUAAUAUUCCUAAAUAAUAAAUGAGUCAAGGAGGAAAUAAAAAAACUAUUCAGAAAGUGGCUGGGCGCGGUGGCUCACACCUGUAAUCCCUGCACUUUGGGACUCUGAGGCGGGUGGAUCACCUGAGGUCAGAAGUUCGAGACCAGCCUGACCAAUAUGGUGAAACCCUGACUCUAGUAAAAAUACAAAAAUUAGCUGGGCAUGGUGGCCUGUGCCUGUAGUCCCAGCUACUUUGGAGGCUGAGACAGUAGAAUUGCUUGAACCCGGGAGGUGGAGGGUGCAGUGAGCCGAGAUCACACCAUUGUAAUCCAGCCUGAGUGACAGGGCAAGAUUCUGUCAAAAACAAAAACAAAAACAAAAACAAACAGAAAAAAGAAUUCAGAAACUACUUUGUGGUAAAUGAAAAUAAAGAUCAAUAUAUCAAAAAUUUAUAGGAUGCAGCUAAAGCAAAACUUAUAGGAGAAUUUAUCAUUGUAAAUGUCUAUAUUCAGAAAGAAGAAAAAUUAAAAAACUUGUAUGUAAAUGUUUCAAGCAGCAUUCUUCAUAAUAGCCCAAAGUGGGAACAACCCAAAUGCCAUCAACUGACAGAUGAACAAAUGUGCUAUAUGGUACAAUAGAUUGUUAAUUGGCCAGAAAAGGGAAUGAAGUACUGAUACCUUCAAAAGCAUGGAUGGAUCUUGGAAAUGCUAUGCUAAGUGAAAGAUGCCAGUCACAAAAGAAUAUACAUUAUAUGAUUCCAUUCAUGUGAAAUUCCAGAACAGAGAAGUCUACAGAGACAGAAGGUGGAAUAGUAAUUACUUAGGGCUGAGGGAGGACGGGGAGGUGGAUACAGGGAUAAUUGCUAAGGGUAUGAGGUUGCAUUUUGAGUUGAUAAAAUGCUCCUAAAUUGACUGGGGUGAUAAGUGCAAAUAUCUGUGAAUAUACUGAAACCAUUGAAGUGUACACUUUAAGUGGGUGACUUGGUUGGUAUCUGAAUUACAUAUCAAUAAAGUUGUUUUUUAAAAAGUUAAAAAGUGUUUAGAAACAUUGCUGUAAGUACCUUUGAAUACACAUGAGUCAGACAUAUUUGGGAGGAUCUGUAAAUUCAGAUUUAACCAAUAUAAUAAUAUUAAACAUUAAAAGUUUAGUUUUACUCAUCUUUAUCCAAUGUAAACUGUAUUUUAUACUAAUACUAUAAUAGAAUAAGCUCCACUUUUUAUAUUUAACGUCUUCAGCAUUUUCUAAUAUUUCAAUUCAGUUUUUGUAAUUAGCUAUUUUAAAAGUCUGUCUACAAUUUCAAGGAGUGAAUUUGCUGAAGUUUAUGUAGUAAUUCUCCCUAUCCCCUGUAAGAAAUUGUCAAACCAUUUUCCAAAGUGGUUGUACCAUUUUGCAUAUCCACCUGAAAUAUAACAGAGUUCCAGCUGCUCUACAUCCUCAUCAGCGCUCUAUGUUGUUAGCUUUUAAAAAGCUAUUCUGGCCAGGCACGGUGGCUCAUGCCUGUAAUCCCAGCACUUUGGGAGGCCAAGGCAGGUUCGAGACCAGCCUAGCCAAACAUGGUGAAACGCCGUCUCUACUAAAAAUACAAAAAAUUAGCUGGGUGUGGUGGCAGGCGCCUGUAAUCCCAGCUACUCGUGAGGCUGAGGCAAAAGAAUCCCUUGAACCACAGAGGCAGAGGUUACAGAGGCAAAAAAGUCACUUGAACCCCAGAGGCUGAGGUUGCAGUGAGCCAAAGUCACGCCAUUGCACUCCAGUCUGGGCAACAAGAGUGAAACUCCGUCUCAAAAAAAAAAAAAAAAAAAAAAAGCUAUUCAGCUAUUCUAAUAGGCGUGCAGCAAGAUCUAAUUAUAGUUUUGAUCUGCACUUCUCUAAUUAUGCUGAUGAAUAUCUUUUUAUGUGUUUAUUUGCUACUCAUAUCUUUUUGGCUAAAUAUCUGUUCAUGUCUUUUUCCAGUUUUUCUAAAAGUUGGCUAAUUUGAUUUCUUAUUGAAUUGUGAGAGUUUUUAAAAUCCAUAUUAUUUAUACAAGACCUUCAUCAGAUAUGUGAUUUACAAAUAUCUUCCCCCAGUUUGUUGCUUGUCUUCAUUGUCUUAACUGUAUUUUUAGAAGAAAAGACUUUUAAAAUUUUUGUCUAAUUUAUUAACUUUUAAUUAAUUAAUUUUGCUAAUUUUGUUUUCAGGGACUAUUUUUGUGUGGCAGGAAAUAGGGAGAUAUUGAAGAAUUUUGAGCAGGGGAUCAACAUAUUAAAAGAGACAUUAGGAUAAAAAUUGGUUUGAUUGUAGACAACAAUUUAAAUUGAAGUAGAAAUAAAUCUAGGGUAAGAGAAAUUAGCUGUUACAAUAAAUUAGGCAUGAAAUAAAUGAGGAAUUUAGGUAAGUAUGGUAACAACCAGAAUUAUACCUUAUUAAAAUUUCAUCUAUCUGCUUAACUAGAAUCUGCUAAUGAUUGAAUAGAUUUUCUUAUAGCCAGGGUUACUUCGGAUGACUCCAAAGGGAAAUCCAGAGACUUCCCUGAUCAGCAACAUGAGGAGGCCCCCAACCUCCUUAAUCCUAUUUGGCCAGUUCCUCCAAUGCCCUUUUUAAGAAAAUGUGUAUCAUGGUUUUCCAUGCAGUCAGGAAACAUAAACUUUCUAGGAUGCAAUUUAGUCAUAAUGCUUAUAUCUAUUAGUUAUUGCUAUAUCACAAACCACUUCAAAAGUUAGGGUCUUAAAACAACCAUCAGCCGGGCGCCGUGGCUUGCUCCUGUAAUCCUGGGCCGAGGCAAGCAGAUCACUUGAGGUCAGGAGUUCGAGACCAGCUUGGCCAACGUGGUGAAACCACAUCUCUACUAAAAGUAUAAAAAUUAGCCAGGCAUGGUGGUGGGUGCCUGUAAUGCCAGCUACUCGAGAUGCUGAGGCAGGAGAAUCACUGGAACCCAGGAGCGGAGGUUGCAGUGAGCUGAGAUCGUGCCACAGCACUCCAGCCUCGGCGACAGAGCAAGGCUCUGUCUCAAAAAAAACAAAAACAACCAACCAACCAACCAACCAAACAAAAAACAAAACCGUUGUUUACUUAGCUCAUGAUUCUGAAGAUUUGACCAUUUGGGGUGGGAACAGCUGGGUUCUUCUGGUUCCUUCUGGGUCCUCUACUUGGCUACAGAUGGCUUUGUUGAUCUUGGCUGAGCUCUCUCAAAUGUCCUGGUGCCUUGGCUAGCUUAUUGAAGCCCAGGCUUAGCAUUAACAAGUGCCUUCCAUGGUAUUUAAUUGGACAAAGUAAGUCAAAGGCAGCCCAGAUUCAAGGAGUGCAUACAAGGAGGGGAAUAAUCGUAGGCAUUUUUGCAAACAAUCUGCUUCGGUGCUUAUCUUCAGACCUGAGAUAUGGUCAUGUUUGUGACAUUCCUUGGAAAGAAAAGCAUCCUAGAGACCUUUCUAGGAGUUACUGGUGAAGGAAGUAUUUAGAAGAUAAACUUUCAUUAAAUUCAUUGUAGCAGGAUCUGGGAAUUAGGAUCUCAAGGGGAAAUCCCAACUCUUGUUGUUUGCUUCCCGUAAGAAUAAGAAACAGCAGCAUUAUCAAGUGCUGUACUUUACUACAAAUAUUAACCGGCAACAAUUGACCCUCUCUGGGACUUUCCAUUUAGUUAUUUACUGGAAGCUGUUCUGUAAUUUUCAGCAGUGCUGUUAUCUAUGAGAUUACUUUUCUUUUAGCUGUGCUGGGUUUUCAGACGCAUUAAUAUAGCUUAAUAUCUCUUCCUGUUGCUUCUCUAAUUAAAAGCUUGUUGGAUUUCCAAAUAAGAAAUAACAUACACAAGCACUGGUAAUUCAGGCUGCUAAUAAUUGGGAGAAAAACUUCAGCAAGGAACAGCAUCAACCAGGCAUGAGGGAUCUUAUGAUCCGGCAAAGAAAGAGGCCUAGGAGUCUGGGGAGGAUUGCAGGGCAGUGAUCUGGCUCUGAGCAGCUGGCCUCCCUGAGAGGGGCUGCUGCCGAUGAAGGACCGCCAACAGACAGCCUGAGUAUAGUGCAUGUGCCCUGUCCCAAGAUGGAUGUUUGAAUCCUGGAUCCAAGAGAAGAGCUCAUGUCUGUUUUUCCAAUCACUGCUUGUAUCCUUUCCUGCUUCCCCAAGUCCCUCAUUCCUCUCCUCCCGGCGGCUUUUGCCCUCUUUGGUCCAGGCCGCAGGAAACCGUUCCUCUAGUUCUAACAAUCGGCCACUAGAUGGCACUAGAUGUUCGGAUUAAAGUGCCUUCCUGAGCUCCACGGGCCCAGGGCGAGGGCAGGCAGGGUCUGAAGACAGCUUCUCUCGGCCACCGUCAUUCUCUCUCCCACUUCGCUCUUCACUUCUCAUCCCUUCCUCAUCCCAUUUAAACAUUAGAUUCCUUCCAGCAGCGGUGUUUGCGUGAUUUCAAAGGUAAGGACACAGAAGCCCAGGGAAUAUAAGUAACCUCCCAAAAAUCGCACAGCAGGUUUGGGCCCUCAUGGGUGACAGAAAAGUACCAGAGUUCUGGUUCCUCUUUGAACACACAUGUUCUCUGGGUUUCGCCUUGCAGCCCAAGAAGAGAGGAGGCUUGGAAUCACCACACUUCCCACAGCAAGGGCAAUCUUUAAAGGCAGUAAGGUGUGACGCUCCAGACUGGCAGCUUGGCAAGACAGAGCCCAUGGAUACCAGCACACGGGAAUCUGGACGGCUCACUCUGACAGCAGUCAGCACUGGGAACAAAAGGAAUGGAGGGAAAAAAGCGCAAAUGUAUUUUUACAUAUUGUAGGCAUAUGGCCACAAGACCAGCAGAAAUAUAUUUAAUUACCAAUUGCACGCAUUGAGGAGAAAAACACUGGAAAUGGGGGAAAAACUGUAUACACAGCAAUAUUAUUCUAAUUUAACUUUUCACCUCAGUUUUUUUUUUCUUUCUUUAAUUGAAAAUGGAAGGGAAUGUGGGUUGGAAUCGCAAAGGGUUAUCUUCUGGAAUUCUAUCAAAGGUGAUGUGGGAUUUUGACAUGCCUUCUUUAACAGCAUAACAUUAUAGAAAGAAAUAGGAAAGUUUUCUUUUAGUUAUUUUAAUUAUGAAAUAAUUUGACCAAGGCGUUUUGGGGGAGUGGGGCAGACCGGAUUUGAAAUAUAACAGUUAGACAAUCUUACUGUCAUGUUAAAACUGUACUUUUGAUGUUACACAUUAGGCCUCAACAAUUAAUAACCUAAUCUUGAAAAAUUAUAUUCUUGUUCUUUUCUAUGAAAGCAGAAUACUUCAACCCCAUUUAUUGUCAGGUAUUGUCCUAGCCAGUGGAGGUACAGAGGUGAAUCAGAUGUCAUCCCUGCACUGAAGAAGCAUAGCCUAGGCUGGGAGACAAAUACACAUAUAUAUAAUUAUAAUGUUAUACCAUUAAAUUAUUAAAUAUGUGAAAAUUAUCAUUAGCUAAAAUCACAAUUAUAAUACACAUAAUACCAUCUAUAUAAGGCAAUGAUGUAGCUAUAUGAAUCCAGGGGCCAUAGAGGAUUGACUCUUAGUUCAGUCUGGGUGUCAGUCACACUGGAGGACCAGGGAGGAGACCUCUUCCAGGAAAAGCUGAUGAAAAGGAUCAGUGAGAAAAAGCCCGGGAAGAAGGCAGUUGCAUUUUGCAGAAUGAAGGAGUUUGGGCCAGUGUGAGCCAGCUCCCUUCCUAGGGUGCCGGCUCAGGGAGUCAGGUAAUGGGGCCAGGGAAACGUGUGCCCACUGACUUGGGAAAGAGAGAGGGGCCCAUACCUCCUUCUUGGCAGGAAAGAAAAUCACAGCCCCGAAAAAGUAACUUGCCAGGAGCCCCCUUCUUUGUAGCAUUCCUAUCACUGACUUCCUGUUAGCCUGGGUCUCCUGUUCUCACCCUGCUCUUUGAAAUCCUUGGUGGCCAGUGCCGGCUAUGUAGGUGACCUGUGCUCCCUGGUCCCAUGGAGGUUCUGCCCAGCUGACCAGCCUUGCAGUCUGUUUCUGCAGCCCAGAUAAUGGUUCAGAGGCAUGUUAAUGUGUGCUUUGCUUUAUGUAGCAAAUAUCAUCUUGAAAAGUUUUUUUGUACAUUUACUUUUUUUUUGUAAAGCGACCUACAUAAUAAAAGCACUAGGGGAGCUGGUUAUUUAAAGGAACCCUGUAGUGAAUCUUUUCAUAAUGUAGAAGCCAUUCCUUAAUUAAUCUUUGUUUUUCAUCAGACAUACCUGUGCCUCUGUGGCUUUUCUUUUUUUUUUUUUCUAAGAGGAAGCGGCCUAGGCUAUAGUGCCAAGUGCGUGAGACUGAGGGCCAGGGCUUCCAGAGCGCAUGCUGAGCUGUUGCUGGCUGCCACUGGGUUGAGGAUGUGAGCAUAACCUUGGGGUCAGUUCUAUCUUCUGACAAAGGCACAAUCAAAUGGGCUUAGGUUCAAAUCCGGGUUUUACCAUCCAUCGACUUCAUUUGGCAAUUCACUUGUUUCCUUGAAUGUUAGUUCUUUACCCAUGUACUGGGUGGUUACAUACGUCAAAUCAAAAAGUUUCUCCGAGGGCCUGGCAUCAUAGCUAUGACUAAGGGUUUGCUUGCCCCCACUCCAAUUCUACUCUGCUCCACUCUGCAACAGCCCCUUGGAGCAAGAGCCACAGCUGGACUUGUUGGGAGGAAAUACUUGUUAACUUGGGACCUCCCUGCAACUGUUUCCUCAGAGGAGAGGAAAUGCCCACUCUACUCCCCAGGAGGAAGGUGGAUAAAAGACAAUAUUUUAGACUAUUCUUUACCCCUGGUUACCCAUGGUAAAAAGUGAUUGAUCUUAAUAGUAAAGUUUCAGAUACAGCCAUCUUGGGCAGGUCUGUACAUUCAAGUAUGGUAGUAUGGGCUGCCCUCCCCCACCGCCACACCCUCAGACAGGCCCAUAUGUUUUAAAUUGAUCCAAAUCUGCUCUUUUUUUCCAUAUCUGAGCCCACCCCUGUGGCUCUUCAGGAGCUUUUGGUCUGAGCAAGGGUCCCACAGCCUCCCCUGAUCCUGUUUCAUCAGUUAUAAACCUGUUGGAACAUUGUGUCUGCUCAGCUUGCUAGAACUUUUUACCUCCCUAUCCUCUAGCUGCUGGGGAGGGCAGACACCUGCUUGGCACCACACAUGCUUUCCGGUCAUCUGGUCACCUGUGGGCCUGCAGCUAGGGUGGUGGUUGUGGCUGGAGCUUAGAGCCACAUCCAGUGAGGGUCACAGAGCUCCUCAGAGAAGUGCUGGGAGUGAGACUCCAACCCGCCCCAGCACUGAGGUGGGGUUGAGGGAUGUGGCUGAAUGACCAAGGGGAUGGCCAUAGACUCUAUCCAGGAAGAGAAAUCCCAAGGGCAGGCAGGUUAACCUGUCCCCACAAACUCAUGUCCAGGCCCUGGGGUUCCCAACCCUGACUGAUGAGAACCGACAGCUAUACCCUUUUGGUUGGCAUUUCUGAGAAUUGCGUGGACAAUUCUCUUCUCUUUUCUUACUGAAGGAAGGACAGAUAUAGAGGUGGUUCUAACUCUGGUGCUGGUAUAUUUGUGACUAUCACUGGGAUCAUAUUACCAGAGUAAGUUUGACCAAUUUGGAGAAUUGGCCUUGGAGAGGUCAACACUUAAGAGAAAGGCCAAGGCCAUGGCCUGGCUCAAAUGGAUCCCAUUUCUUGCACAUGAGUUACACUGACUCAGUUAUUGGAGAGCCCUCUUGUGCUUGGGUAGGAAUUUGAAAUGUUGAAGUAGUCAUGGGUUAGGGACCUGCUGCUAAUGACCCUCCUGUAACCCAAACUUAAGAUACUUCUGGAAAAUAGACUACAUCAGAAGACUUCUAAGGUCCCUCAUUCACUCAUUCAUCUAUUCUUUUAUCUGGGAUUUAUCAGGGACCUACCAUGUACCAGGUUCUAUACCACCUGUUGGAGAAACAAUGGUGAAUGAGUCCCUGCACUUCCAAGGCUUGCAGUCCAGUAGUAGAGAGGCAAGUGAAGACAAUUAACUCGGUAUGAGAAGCACAAAAGAUAGAUAGGGGAGCACAGACCAGGGACAGCACACCCAGUUUAGAGGGACUGGGAAACAUUUCUGGAGAAAAUGAUCAGUAAUGUUAGGUGUUUUUGUCCAGGAAAGGCUGAGGGGGGUGACAACACCCUUCCAAGAAGGCUUGCACUGUGAACAACACUGAAGUGACUUGCCCAGGGGCACUCUAUAAGUAGCAGAGCCUGGAUUGUUCAAAAGUGAAACCCUACGUUCUUAGUCACGUUGCUCCACUGUCAAUAUUGAAAUGAUUAUUCAAGAGGCCCAACUAUUGAUUAUAAACAAUAGUGCAUUGCAGAUCUGGCUGCUUUCUUGGCCAUGUGGGGCUUUGAGCUCUAGCCCCUAAAUCAGCAGAGAAAACACAAUCCAGCCACAGAUGGUGGCUCACACCUGUAAUCCUAGCACUUUGGGAGGCUAAGGCGGGUGGAUCACCUGAGGUCAGGAGUUCGACACCAGCCUGGCCAACAUGGUGAAACCCGUCUCUACUAAAAAUACAAAAAAAUUAGCUGAGCGUUGUGGCAGGCACCUGUAAGUCUCAGCUACUUGGGAGGCUGAGGCAGGAGAAUCGCUUGAACCCAAGAGACAGAAGUUGAAGUGAGCAGAGAUUGCACCACUGCACUCUAGUCUGGGUGACAGAGUGAGACUCUGAAAAAAAAAAGAAGGAAGAAAGGAAGGAAGGGAGAAAGGAAAGAGAGAAAAGAAAGAAAGAAAAAGAAAGAGGGAAGAAAGAAAAAGAAAGGAAAGAAAAAGAAAGAAAAGAAAAAGAAAGAAAAAAGAAAGAAAAAGAAAGAAAGAAAAAGAAAGGAAGAAAGAAAGGAAGAAGAGAAGAAAGGAAGAAAGAAAGGAAAGAAAGAAAGAAAGAAAGAAAGAAAGAAAGAAAGAAAGAAAGAAAAAGAAAGAAAGAAAGAGAAAGAAAGAAAAAGAAAACACAAUCCAAACUAUUGAGUAGUCAGGGGAGUUAGGCAGGAACAAUACCGAUGUUGUCUGGACCCUGAAUAACAUAUUCCAAACAACUUUCUCAUUGCCUAAGUAAGUCGAAAGUACUGUUUUGCAAUUUGGUUGCAGUGUGCAAGUUUGGUUGAUUUCAUGUGUCUUAAAGAAUUAUGCUCUGUAGACACCAUGUGAUUACUUUUUAAAGUGAAGUGAAGUAAGAGUGAUACUUAAUAUCACAGUAUUAGGGCAAUGCCUUUAUAAAUUAGAUGCCUACUUUAAAAUUUAUAAAAUUGUGGCACCAAAUAUAUGUACAGUCAACCUGCUGUAUCUGGAGGUUCCACGUCUGUGGAUUCAACUAAUCAUGGAUUGAAAACAUUUUUACAAGAUGGCUGGUCAUGUCUGUCCUGAACAUGUAUGAAAUUUUUUAUUGUUAUUCCCUAAACAAUAUAGUAUAGCAACUAUUUACAUAACAUUUACACUGUAUUAGGCAUUACAAAUAAUUUAGAGAUGAUUUAAAGUAUACAGGAGGUUGUGCAUAGGUUGUAUGCAAAUACCAUGCCAUUAUACAUGAGAGACUUAAGCAUCUGUGGAGUUUGAUAUUAGCAGUAGGUCCUGGAAUCAAUCCUCCAGUGAUACUAAGGGAUAACUGUAUAUUCAUAUUCUGUCUCCUGGAAAGAUAUAAAAUGUCUCACAACAAAAGUAAUUUUUUUUAAAAAUUAAGAUUCAAGGAAGUAACACUAGGAAGUUCAAUUUGAAUGGAAUAUACAUAAAAUUUAUUUCUGGGUUCCCUGGGAGCCAAAGCAAAAAGGGAAACAUGAAAAAAAUGCAUAAUUUUUUUUUAUCAAAAAGGAGAAAGCAGAUUCACUCCCCCUGGAAAAAAAAGUGUUUGCAAAGACAAAAAUUCUAAAAAUAGUAAUUUAACAUAGACUUAACCUUUGGAAGAAAGAAGAAACAAUUCAAGGUGUUUGUAAUGUAAUGGAUUAUCAUAUAAUCAAGAACUAUGAUGAAAUAGAGAACACUCUUUCCUUUAAACCUAGAACAGAGAAAGAAUUCCUAUCAGAGAACUAUUAAUGGAAAGUCAGAACCACUAGGCUCUGAUGUGCAGAUCUAGGUUCAAAAUGCAGCGCUUAUUUAUCUAUUUAGUUAUGUGUUUAUGAGGCAACUAUUUGUUGAUUACCUAGUCUGUGCCAUUCAUGUUUCUAGGGCUGUGAUGGAGUGAUGAAAAAGAAAAAGUCCCUGCUCAUAAUUCACAUAAUGACUCCAGCACAUUAAUAUAAAAUUUUACAGUUUUAAUUGUCACAUGAUGUGUGAUGGAUGAAUUAUGAGUUAAUCAACUUACAUGAUACUUUAUGGUUUGCAAAAUGUUUUCACACAUCAUUACAACCCAAAUCUCCUUGCAGAAGCAUGGGGACAUUCUAGACAUAGCUCAACAUUCAAAUUUGGACUAAUGCUCCUGGUUAAGGAGUCUUGAUAUAUCAUGAAAGUAUUGGUUGUGCUUAUAUUUUUCCAUUAAAAAGGAUAUGCUUAAGAGCCCAUUUCAGUAAUUAGGAAGAAAGUUAGCUAGCAAAUGCCACAAGAGACUUUAACAUACCUUGAUGUGCUUAAGAGUUGAACAUUGCACUCAGUGACACUUAGUUUAAUGAAUAUCACAAUUUUCUUCACAUCCCAUGAAGCAUUGCAGGACUUUUGGCAAAAUGUGAGGUCCUUCUGCUAGGCACAGCUAGGAAAUACUAAUAACUGUUAAAUGAGAACCUCUUGUUCCUAUCUUAAGGCAAUGACAUCAUUCAUAUGGUUCACUCAGCCUCUCAGGCCUUUUAUUCUCCUCCUUCAGCAUGCCUAUUGCAUACAAUAGGUAAAGAAUUCUCCUUCUUUUCCAGUUAAUUAACCCACCUGCUAAUAAUACUCUUCUGUCCUUGAUUGAUUCAGAGCAACCUCCAGCUGUCAGCCUCCUAUCUAGUCAGAAGCUUUUGAUGAUGAAAAUGGAGUCCAUAAGAAAGAAAUGGGCUACAAAUAUUAAGUGCAGGCAGGCAAGGUGCAAGUAGGGUGAUAUCUUAUCCCAGUUUGCCCAGAAUUUUAUGCUUUUAGUGCUGAAGAUCCCAAGUCCUGGGAACCCACUAAAUAGGACUAGGAAUUGUUCCCCUAAGUGCAGGGAAUCAUCUCUAUAGUCAAACAGCAACAAAUGAGUAAACAUGAGGGGGCAGGUAACAGCAGAUGUUUUAGUUUGGAUUCCUCCAAUAGCAGGCUCUAAGUCUAGGAUUCCAUGCAAGUGGUUUACUGGGAGAUGAUCCUAGGAAACAGUGGUAGGGGAGAAGAGAAAUGAGAUAGGAAAGCAAUUGCCACUGUGGGCAUCUGGAACCUAUUCCUACUGAGAAACACUGAGAGUAGUGCAAUACAUGUGCCUUUGAGCCAUGCUGCCUGAGGGGAAUUGGAGUUGGGGUAACUACCAGUUGUUAGUUGAAGUCUGUUCUUAGUGGUGGAGGCGGAGUUUGCUAAUUGUGCCUGCUGAGCCUAUGGGCAGAGUGGACCUCAAUUUUCCGAGAAAGUUCUCCAACCAAAAGAUGCAGAUGCUGCAGGUAGAAGCUGUGCUAUAUUGCACACUGAAAUGGUAAGGUAGGACAGUGAUGAUGCUGUUACAAUGGGUCUACAUUGUUUUCCAGGUCAACUCAUUCUACAGCACUGACUGGCUAACUCUUCCCUGUGUGGACACAGCUUCUUUGGUAAUAUAAGAAAAAAACAUGUGUGCUAGAUAUGGGGGAGAGUAAGGAUUUGAGUGGAUAUUUGAAAGGCAGAUGAGUUUGAUGCCUUGGAAUCAUGCCUAAUAUAUGUUCUUUUCAUUCGUGAUUAUCAUAUAGCCAAACUAUAGAUAUGUGGGAUUAGUAGUCUCCAAUAAGGCCACUUCCAAGUAGUCUUCCAAGUAGCCUUCAAUCAUACCACUUCAGGCAUUAAUUCUAUUAGUCUGAAUGAUUUGGGCAGAUGAGACUUUUGAACACCACUUGGUCUUACCAUGGCUUAUGAGGCCUCAUUAUCAUAAAAAGUAGACUUGUUCUUUCACUUAUAUCUUUCUCUGAGCCAUUAUAAACCAUUUUAUUAUUUCUGUCUUUGAGCUGAACAAAGUUGUCUCUCAGGUCUCCUAUAGAAAUAUCUAGAACAUGACCUCCUUCUGAAGUUUGUAAUGUAUUCAGAGUGGAAUGCGAUGGUAAGCUGUGCACCUGGGUAUACAAGCAAGGUACUUGGAGUUGAUGGGUGAGCUACAUUCAGCCUCAUUCAGCCCUGAAGACCAAGAUUGUUCAUCUUCCAGCUGACCUGACAAGCACCUCUGCCAAAUAGAGAUUAUUGAAUCUGGAUAGACGCUGAAGAGUCAAUCAGAUUGUUGUUCAAGGAGUUUAGCAAAGACAAUUGGUGAACAGAAGCCAUAUGUAAUUAAAAGCCUCACUGUAGGGAGAGACCAGUGUGAGAAUUGCUUGGUUGUGGUGGAGAGAUCUUAGGCACAAAUGCAGAGCAGUUGUGUGGAGCUGUGGUCAUGACAGACGGUCUUUGGAAUGAGAAGCAAUGUUUCCCUGCCAUGGAGAGGAAAAGGAAACCAGGUGGCUCAACCUGGCUUGUGUCUUAAAAGUCAACCCAGCAUCUAUGAGUCUGCCUCUGAAGCUAUUGGGACACUCUUCUGUAUUCUUCAGUUCCCACGUGCAGCCUUAUGAGAAAUAGUUAAUUGUCUCCACCAACCCGAAAUAACCCAACUAACGUAUCUUUUAAGUAUUUGAAAUCACCACUCACCUGUCUCUGACUUAGGCUAAACAAUUUUAAUUCCAUUAUUUUUUAUUUUUACCAUUUAAACAUUAGUUUAAUUUUAAUUUUUUUUUUUCGGAGAUGGGGUCUUACUCUGUCGCCCAGGGCUGGAGUGCAGUUGCACAUGGCUCACUGCAGCCUCAACCUCCUGUGUUUAAGCGAUCCUCCCUACCUCUAGCCUCCUGAGAAGCUGGGACCACAGGCAUGUGCCAGCAUGCCCUGCUAAUUUUUACUUUUUUAUUUUUGUAGAGAUGCAGCCUCCUUAUGUUGCCCAGGGCUGGUCUCAAACUCCUGGGCUCAAGUGAUUCUCCUGCCUCGGCCUCCCAAAGUGCUGGGAUUAUAGGCAUGAGCCACUGCACCUGGCCUUAUUUUGAAUUUGAAGACUUAUACAUUCAAUUCAGCCUCUUCAAGUCCUCCUACCUAGGAGGCACUGGGGAGUAGACUAGCAUGAGAUAUGAGACUUAGGGUCAGAAAUACAUAGAUUCCAAGCUUGGCCCAGCAGUCCACUUUAAAUGUGCAUAUGGGCAAGCUACUUAACUUCUCUGAAGCUUAAAUGAGAAUUAUAUUUAUAAUUAACAAUAUUAUUAUUACCCCCACAAAAAAUAAGAUACGUGAAAAUCUUUUUCUCUACCCUUCCUUGCCCUCAGAUAUAUUCUAUGAAAGACUGAGAUUUGUUAUCUUAUAAAAUAGAAUCUAAUAAAGAAAAUAAAAGAGUAGGAAUUAAAAACAUGAUAAAUGGAGAAUAAUAAGUGAAGAAAGCCAAUAUUAUUUGAGCUACAAACUUAAUAGUGAGCUUCUUGGAAAUGAACAAAAGCAAAAUGCAAUAGUCACAUCCUACUCUAAUAAAAUGAAAUAUAAAAUUUUAUAAAGUAAGAAAUAUGAUUUUUAGUUUACCUGUAAUGUGAAUUGUUACAUUGGUUCUGUUUUAAGAGACAUUGAAACAGACAGCAGAAAUUUUAUAGUAGACAGAGAAAGGACCUCUGUAUCCUAUUUCUUUUAUUAACUGCAAAUUAAAAGCUAUGCAUGUAGAGUUGUGUUGGAGGUUUCUUGAAGGUAUUUUCAUAGACAGAUGAGAGAAGAUAUAGCCAAGGUAGCCAAGACAUGUUUUUUCUUUUCUUUUCUUUUCUUUUUUCUUUUUUCUUUUUGGGCGACAGGUUCUCACUCUGUUGCCCAGGCUGGAGUGCAGUGGCGCGAUCAUAGCUCACUGCAGCCUCAACAUCCUGAGCUCAAGCCAUCUUCCCAUGCAAGCCCCCCAGUAGCUGGGACUACAGGCAUGUGCCAGCACACCUGGCUAAUUUUUUAUUUUUAGUUUUUGUAGAGACGAGGUCUCACUACGUUGCCCAAGCUAGUCGUGAACUCCUGGACUCAAGGGAUCCUCCCACCUCAGUCUCCCAAAGUGUUGGAAUUACAGGCAUGAGCCACUUCCUGGCCAAGGCAUGUGUUUUCUAAUAAAAGUGAAUAAAUGUAGCAACACAGCAUGAAGGAUCUAGAGUAAUUGUUUAUGUCCUUUCUCUGUUUUCAAAUAUGAAUUGCCUUGGUUUAUUUUCAUAUUGCACUAGCUUCCUAACUGGUCUCCUUGCUGCAAUCUUGCAUGCCGUGAGUCUUUUCUCUAUGAGGCAGCCAGGACAAUAUUUCUAUUUUGUUGUGUCACUUGCUGGUUUUAAGCUAUUUCUACGGUCCACUCCUAAAUUCUUGAAGUUUUUCAGAUAUGCCAUGUAGUUCCCCCUUUGCACAUUCUCCUUUUCCUGGAAUACCAUCGCUAUUGUCAACUAGAUUGCCAGGUUAAUAUAAUCCUUUGGAAGUCAGAUCAGACAUCGCUACUUCUAGAAAAACUUAACCACCCCAACCUUGUCUGAAUUUGUUUCCUCUCCUCUGUGUUCUUAAGCAUUCUACUACACAGUAUUGUUAUUUUGUAUUUACCUGUCUAUAAGUCAGAGGCACCAUUGUCAGAUCUUCAUCAAGCCUUCUGUGUUGGCAGAGUCCUGUUAUAUAGGAGGGGCUUAAUACAUAUUUCUUAAGUGAGCGAAUGACUUAGUAGGAGCUGGCUUUCAAACCAAUAGUCAAUGUCAUGUUAAUAACCAAUGAACAUUUUCCCAAAGUAUGUUUCAGAAAACACUGCUUCUGAGAAAUAUUAUAGGUGUCCUGGACAGAACACUUCCAUAGUUAAGGAAGUAGAAAAUGCUGCAUGUUCUAUCUCUCCAAAAAGUCGCUAUUUUCAUUAGAAUAUUAAAGGCUCUGGCAUGUUUUUCAAUUAAUAAACUUAUUUACUAUAUAUUUUUCUUACUUUUGUGUGUGUGUGAUUGUGUAGUACCUGUUGGAACUAAUUACUUACGACAAAAACAGCUUGAAAAACCUUGCUCUGCAGGCUUUACUUAAAAUUCGGAAAUCAGAUCAAGCACUGUAGCUCAAGUGCCUGUAAUCCCAGCACUUUAGGGGGCCAAGGUGAGAGGAUCACUUGAGGCCAGGAGCUUGAGACCAGC
rnacentral:lncRNA from 1 species